GGAUUGUGGCUCAGCGGAAGAGUGCUCGCCUAGCAUGUGGGAGGCCCUGGGUUCGAUCCUCAGCACCA
rnacentral:tRNA from 1 species